AGCUUGCACUUCCUGGCAUGAACGAUAGAUCGCAGAGGCAAGCGAGGAGUGUUGGCAUCAGCAAGGUCAGGCUUGAAAAAGGGUACGCAACCCAUGGGAGAUAAGGAAGAUAUGUUUUUGAACAUUUUGAGGAAGAAGAUGUGUUUUCAAAAUAUCUUUUCUCAUGCCCUCGGAAUUGGGAUCGGACUCGUUGGCAUGGAUUCGACUCGAGUUCUCAAAAUGCCGAGUCUGCCCUGAUGGAGAGAGGAGUCAAGAUUCACAGAAUUUUCAAUAACAGAAAUUGCUGCGAAUACUUAUUUGAAUUUAUGAGUGUUUUCAAAUAUUUCCGACUUGAUUAUUCCCGAUCCUUAUGUUUGCUAACUGAAUGGUUGAAAUUGUUCACGUUAAGGAAAGUUAUUUACGACAUUUUCAAUAAUAUUCCAGUUUACUAUCUAUUAGUAAUUUUCUUUCUUACUACGCUGA